rnacentral:rRNA from 1 species
UACGGAGAGCUCAAGCGUUAUCCGGAUUUAUUGGGCGUAAAGAGUGGGUAGGCGGGUAUGUUAGUCGGGUGUCAAAGCUCGGGGCUCAACCCCGAAAAGGCAUUCGAAACGGCAUAUCUAGAGAGUGUGAGAGAUCAGUGGAAUUUAUGGUGUAGUAGUGAAAUGCGUUGAUAUCAUAAAGAACACCCAAGGCGAAGGCAACUGAUUGGCACAUUUCUGACACUGAGCUACGAAAGCGUGGGGAGCGAAUGGG